rnacentral:rRNA from 1 species
CCUACGGGUGGCAGCAGUCGAGAAUCAUUCACAAUGGGGGAAACCCUGAUGGUGCGACGCCGCGUGGGGGAAUGAAGGUCUUCGGAUUGUAAACCCCUGUCAUGUGGGAGCAAAUUAAAAAGAUAGUACCACAAGAGGAAGAGACGGCUAACUCUGUGCCAGCAGCCGCGGUAAUACAGAGGUCUCAAGCGUUGUUCGGAAUCACUGGGCGUAAAGCGUGCGUAGGCUGUUUCGUAAGUCGUGGGUGAAAGGCGCGGGCUCAACCCGCGGACGGCACAAGAUACUGCGAGACUAGAGUAAGGGAGGGGUAACCGGAAUUCUCGGUGUAGCAGUGAAAUGCGUAGAUAUCGGGAGGAACACUGGUGGCGAAGGCGGGUUCCUGGACAUUAACUGACGCUGAGGCACGAAGGCCAGGGGAGCGAAAGGGAUUAGAUACCCCAGUAGUC